AAAUACUUAUUAUUAUUUUAGUAUGUCCACUUUUUAGCGAUUUAUUUUCUCUUCCCUCAUUAUCUCGGUUUGUGGCCGUUCAAGAAAAGGAUUUAGAGGAAAAGUGACGUCUCACUCAAUUCUUCAAUACCAACCGAAAAUUUUUGAGCUUUCCCUAAGAAACACACGACGAAGAAAGAAGAAAGAAGAAAGAAAGAAAGAUGAGCUACUACUUUCCUUUAUUUCC
rnacentral:ribozyme from 1 species